CAGCACCUCAAGUGGUCAGGAUGAUUAUUGGGCCUAAAGCAUCCGUAGCCGGCUCUGUAAGUUUUCGGUUAAAUCUGUAUGCUCAACAUACAGGCUGCCGGGAAUACUGCAGCGCUAGGGAGUGGGAGAGGUAGACGGUACUCGGUAGGAAGGGGUAAAAUCCUUUGAUCUAUUGAUGACCACCUGUGGCGAAGGCGGUCUACCAGAACACGUCCGACGGUGAGGGAUGAAAGCUGGGGGAGCAAUCCGGAUUAGAUACCCGAGUAGUCC
rnacentral:rRNA from 1 species